AAAUCAUACUUGCAGUUACUAUCCCUCCCACUGUAUCCCUCUCCCUCUUCGCCUCUUUUCCAAUCCGUUUUUGUCUUUCAAGAUCCUCCAAAAUGUUCUGACCUCAUCGUCUUCAUCAUCAUGGGUGAGAGGGACAAAUUGACGAAACCAGAGGAUGCGACCAGAUCUGAGAGGAAAGAGAGGUUGAUUCUUCUUCUUCAACAUUCAGUGGUAAGAGUUGAAAGGAGAGUCGUUUUCUCCUGCAAGAAAAAUGCCAGCCUAAGGGAUAUAUGAUUCUCAUUUGCUUUCUGUGAGAUGUUUGAAAUCCUUGGCCAACAAUAUCGUCAAGGACCAACACUUUGCAGCUCGAGAUUUCCAUGAAGCAUUAUAAAUUGAGAAACCUGUCAGGUAUUUUGUUCUCAAUUGGUUGGCUAAUAUGAUUUGGUACUUGCAAACGUGUUAAAUUGAGAUUGGUACAACAAAUAUUGCAUUUUUUGUUCUUUGAAGAGCUGUGGGUGCAGAUCAAAGUGGAAGAGAGUGGCCAAAGUCGGUGAUCUCAUCAACUUUGAAGCAGAAUUCCAGUAGAAACUUGCUUUUUAUUAAAAAGCAAAAUUCCAAUAUGACAAAA